GAUGAACGCUGGCGGCGUGCCUUACACAUGCAAGUCGAACGGCAGCACGGGGCAACCUGGUGGCGAGUGGCGAACGGGUGAGUAAUGCAUCGGAACGUACCUUUCAGUGGGGGAUAACGUAGCGAAAGUUACGCUAAUACCGCAUAUUCUGUGAGCAGGAAAGCAGGGGAUCGCAAGACCUUGCGCUGAUUGAGCGGCCGAUGUCAGAUUAGCUAGUUGGUGAGGUAAAGGCUCACCAAGGCGACGAUCUGUAGCGGGUCUGAGAGGAUGAUCCGCCACACUGGAACUGAGACACGGUCCAGACUCCUACGGGAGGCAGCAGUGGGGAAUUUUGGACAAUGGGGGCAACCCUGAUCCAGCCAUGCCGCGUGAGUGAAGAAGGCCUUCGGGUUGUAAAGCUCUUUCGGCCGGGAAGAAAUCGCACGGGCUAAUACCCUGUGUGGAUGACGGUACCGGAAUAAGAAGCACCGGCUAACUACGUGCCAGCCGCCGCGGUAAAAC
rnacentral:rRNA from 1 species